GCCUACGGCCAUACCAGUCUGAAAGUGCCUGAUCUCGUCAGAUCUCAGAAGUCAUGCAGACUUGGGCUUGAUUAGUACUUGUAUGGGAGACCAACUAGGAACCUCAGGUCCCGUAACUU
rnacentral:rRNA from 1 species